GUGAUAGGGCCGCCUGCUGUCACUGUUGGAUGACAACACGAUUCACCUGUGGGAGCUGGUGGCCGGUGUUAAGAGAGAGGGCGUGGUCAGUCUACAGGAAGUGGGCAACUACAGCCUCCCAGGAAGGCCUGGCAUUGAGAGCUGCAGUGCCACUCGGGUGACUGUCCUCCUCUUGCUGCAGUCUUGCAACCUGCUCUGCAUUGGAACAGAGGGAGGGGGCGUGUACUUCCUGGAAAUGCCCCACCUCUCCCUGAAGGACAACCAGACACUGCUCCAGGAUCAGGUCACGCAGAGCUCCAGCUGAGCAGGUCAGACACACACAUCCAUGCAGAAACAAAUAUCCCUCCUGACGCUGGCAGCAGCAGGCAGGUCGGGGUCGUGUUGCUUCAGGGACCAUGAGAA